rnacentral:lncRNA from 1 species
UACCGCUUUCCUUAUCUAUCUAUCGAUUAUCUACUUUUGCCCGCUUGGACCUAGUGGGGAGAUCGGCGGAGUCGGCGGCCGAACCCACUGGGAACUAAGGAAGUUAGUUCUCACCCCCAUUUUACUACAGGGCCGAGCACGAGGUCACACGGCGAGGAUCGCGGUAAGGGCCUAGCGCCCUAGUUGCACUAGCUAUCCACCCCUUUUGCAUUAGCUCUACCUUUUAUUAUGUUUGAGAGUAGAUGAUGUAUAGGGUGAGGUAUGAGUG